UAGCAGAGGGUGCAAGCGUUAAUCGGAAUUACUGGGCGUAAAGGGUGCGUAGGUGGGUUAUUGUAAGUUGGGUGUGAAAUUCCUGGGCUCAACCUGGGGACUGCGCUCAAUACUGUGUAGCUAGAGUACUGUAGAGGAAGGUGGAAUUUCCAGUGUAGCGGUGAAAUGCGUAGAUAUUGGAAGGAACAUCAGUGGCGAAGGCGACUUUCUGGACAGAUACUGACACUGAGGCACGAAAGCGUGGGGAGCAAACAGG
rnacentral:rRNA from 1 species